rnacentral:rRNA from 1 species
AGCGUACACGGUGGAUGCCCUGGCAGUCAGAGGCGAUGAAGGACGUGCUAAUCUGCGAUAAGCGUCGGUAAGGUGAUAUGAACCGUUAUAACCGGCGAUUUCCGAAUGGGGAAACCCAGUGUGAUUCGUCACACUAUCAUUAACUGAAUCCAUAGGUUAAUGAGGCGAACCGGGGGAACUGAAACAUCUAAGUACCCCGAGGAAAAGAAAUCAACCGAGAUUCCCCCAGUAGCGGCGAGCGAACGGGGAGCAGCCCAGAGCCUGAAUCAGUGUGUGUGUUAGUGGAAGCGUCUGGAAAGGCGCGCGAUACAGGGUGACAGCCCCGUACACAAAAAUGCACAUACUGUGAGCUCGAUGAGUAGGGCGGGACACGUGGUAUCCUGUCUGAAUAUGGGGGGACCAUCCUCCAAGGCUAAAUACUCCUGACUGACCGAUAGUGAACCAGUACCGUGAGGGAAAGGCGAAAAGAACCCCGGCGAGGGGAGUGAAAAAGAACCUGAAACCGUGUACGUACAAGCAGUGGGAGCACGCUUAGGCGUGUGACUGCGUACCUUUUGUAUAAUGGGUCAGCGACUUAUAUUCUGUAGCAAGGUUAACCGAAUAGGGGAGCCGAAGGGAAACCGAGUCUUAACUGGGCGUUAAGUUGCAGGGUAUAGACCCGAAACCCGGUGAUCUAGCCAUGGGCAGGUUGAAGGUUGGGUAACACUAACUGGAGGACCGAACCGACUAAUGUUGAAAAAUUAGCGGAUGACUUGUGGCUGGGGGUGAAAGGCCAAUCAAACCGGGAGAUAGCUGGUUCUCCCCGAAAGCUAUUUAGGUAGCGCCUCGUGAAUUCAUCUCCGGGGGUAGAGCACUGUUUCGGCAAGGGGGUCAUCCCGACUUACCAACCCGAUGCAAACUGCGAAUACCGGAGAAUGUUAUCACGGGAGACACACGGCGGGUGCUAACGUCCGUCGUGAAGAGGGAAACAACCCAGACCGCCAGCUAAGGUCCCAAAGUCAUGGUUAAGUGGGAAACGAUGUGGGAAGGCCCAGACAGCCAGGAUGUUGGCUUAGAAGCAGCCAUCAUUUAAAGAAAGCGUAAUAGCUCACUGGUCGAGUCGGCCUGCGCGGAAGAUGUAACGGGGCUAAACCAUGCACCGAAGCUGCGGCAGCGACGCUGAUGCGUUGUUGGGUAGGGGAGCGUUCUGUAAGCCUGUGAAGGUGUGCUGUGAGGCAUGCUGGAGGUAUCAGAAGUGCGAAUGCUGACAUAAGUAACGAUAAAGCGGGUGAAAAGCCCGCUCGCCGGAAGACCAAGGGUUCCUGUCCAACGUUAAUCGGGGCAGGGUGAGUCGACCCCUAAGGCGAGGCCGAAAGGCGUAGUCGAUGGGAAACAGGUUAAUAUUCCUGUACUUGGUGUUACUGCGAAGGGGGGACGGAGAAGGCUAUGUUGGCCGGGCGACGGUUGUCCCGGUUUAAGCGUGUAGGCUGGUUUUCCAGGCAAAUCCGGAAAAUCAAGGCUGAGGCGUGAUGACGAGGCACUACGGUGCUGAAGCAACAAAUGCCCUGCUUCCAGGAAAAGCCUCUAAGCAUCAGGUAACAUCAAAUCGUACCCCAAACCGACACAGGUGGUCAGGUAGAGAAUACCAAGGCGCUUGAGAGAACUCGGGUGAAGGAACUAGGCAAAAUGGUGCCGUAACUUCGGGAGAAGGCACGCUGAUAUGUAGGUGAAGUCCCUCGCGGAUGGAGCUGAAAUCAGUCGAAGAUACCAGCUGGCUGCAACUGUUUAUUAAAAACACAGCACUGUGCAAACACGAAAGUGGACGUAUACGGUGUGACGCCUGCCCGGUGCCGGAAGGUUAAUUGAUGGGGUCAGCGCAAGCGAAGCUCUUGAUCGAAGCCCCGGUAAACGGCGGCCGUAACUAUAACGGUCCUAAGGUAGCGAAAUUCCUUGUCGGGUAAGUUCCGACCUGCACGAAUGGCGUAAUGAUGGCCAGGCUGUCUCCACCCGAGACUCAGUGAAAUUGAACUCGCUGUGAAGAUGCAGUGUACCCGCGGCAAGACGGAAAGACCCCGUGAACCUUUACUAUAGCUUGACACUGAACAUUGAGCCUUGAUGUGUAGGAUAGGUGGGAGGCUUAGAAGUGUGGACGCCAGUCUGCAUGGAGCCGACCUUGAAAUACCACCCUUUAAUGUUUGAUGUUCUAACGUUGACCCGUAAUCCGGGUUGCGGACAGUGUCUGGUGGGUAGUUUGACUGGGGCGGUCUCCUCCUAAAGAGUAACGGAGGAGCACGAAGGUUGGCUAAUCCUGGUCGGACAUCAGGAGGUUAGUGCAAUGGCAUAAGCCAGCUUGACUGCGAGCGUGACGGCGCGAGCAGGUGCGAAAGCAGGUCAUAGUGAUCCGGUGGUUCUGAAUGGAAGGGCCAUCGCUCAACGGAUAAAAGGUACUCCGGGGAUAACAGGCUGAUACCGCCCAAGAGUUCAUAUCGACGGCGGUGUUUGGCACCUCGAUGUCGGCUCAUCACAUCCUGGGGCUGAAGUAGGUCCCAAGGGUAUGGCUGUUCGCCAUUUAAAGUGGUACGCGAGCUGGGUUUAGAACGUCGUGAGACAGUUCGGUCCCUAUCUGCCGUGGGCGCUGGAGAACUGAGGGGGGCUGCUCCUAGUACGAGAGGACCGGAGUGGACGCAUCACUGGUGUUCGGGUUGUCAUGCCAAUGGCACUGCCCGGUAGCUAAAUGCGGAAGAGAUAAGUGCUGAAAGCAUCUAAGCACGAAACUUGCCCCGAGAUGAGUUCUCCCUGACUCCUUGA